rnacentral:rRNA from 1 species
UACGUAGGUGGCAAGCGUUGUCCGGAAUUACUGGGCGUAAAGCGUGCGCAGGCGGUGAUGUAAGACAGAUGUGAAAUCCCCGGGCUUAACCUGGGAACUGCAUUUGUGACUGCAAGGCUGGAGUGCGGCAGAGGGGGAUGGAAUUCCGCGUGUAGCAGUGAAAUGCGUAGAUAUGCGGAGGAACACCGAUGGCGAAGGCAAUCCCCUGGGCCUGCACUGACGCUCAUGCACGAAAGCGUGGGGAGCAAACAGG